rnacentral:misc_RNA from 1 species
AAGUCGUAACAAGGUUUCCGUAGGUGAACCUGCGGAAGGAUCAUUAACGAAGACUUGGGCACCCGCGCCCUUCUCGUCGUCCACCCUGUGCACCGAGCCUUUUUUCGCGCUACAAAUGUCGAGGAUGAUAACGAAAUUAAAAUGGCACAAAAUGAAGCAACGGAUCUCUUGGCUCUC